rnacentral:tRNA from 1 species
GCCGAAGUGGUGAAAUUGGUAGACACGCUGUGUUCAGGGCGCAGUUCCCGUAAGGGCGUGAGAGUUCGAGUCUCUCUUUCGGCA